GACGAACGCUGGCGGCGUGCUUAACACAUGCAAGUCGAACGGUAAGGCCCUUCGGGGUACACGAGUGGCGAACGGGUGAGUAACACGUGGGUGAUCUGCCCUGCACUUCGGGAUAAGCCUGGGAAACUGGGUCUAAUACCGGAUAGGACCACUGCGUGCCUGGGUGGUGGUGGAAAGCUUUUGCGGUGUGGGAUGGGCACGCGGCCUAUCAGCUGGUUGGGGGGGUUAUGGCCUACAAAGGCGACGACGGGUCGCCGGCCUGAGAGGGUGACCGGCCACACUGGGACUGAUAUACGGCCCAGACUCCUACGGGAGGCAGCAGUGGGGAAUAUUGCACAAUGGGCGCAAGCCUGAUGCAGCGACGCCGCGUGAGGGAUGACGGCCUUCGGGUUGUAAACCUCUUUCAGCACCGACGAAGCGCAAGUGACGGUAGGUGCAGAAGAAGGACCGGCCAACUACGUGCCAGCCGCCGCAGUAA
rnacentral:rRNA from 1 species